rnacentral:rRNA from 1 species
CAGUCGCCGCGGUAAAACGAAGGGGGCUAGCGUUGUUCGGAAUUACUGGGCGUAAAGCGCACGUAGGCGGAUUUUUAAGUCAGGGGUGAAAUCCCGAGGCUCAACCUCGGAACUGCCUUUGAUACUGGAGAUCUUGAGUUCGGAAGAGGUUGGUGGAACAGCUAGUGUAGAGGUAAAAUUCGUAGAUAUUAGCUAGAACACCAGUGGCGAAGGCGGCCAACUGGGACAACACUGACGCUGAGGCACGAAAGCGUGGGGAGCAAACAGGAUUAGAUACCCCUGUAGUCCCUGUCUCUUAUAC